UUGCGCAAGCGUUGAUUAUCUCGGCAAUCUUCGCAAGCACCUGCCGGCGUUGGUGGCCUAAGAUUUUCAACAGAAUCACUGCCCGGACAUUCGUCCACGGCGAACGGCCCUAGCGGGCCAUUCGCGGCCGCCAGCCCCACCGGGCCGGGGCUGGCCACCGGGCUGCGCACCGUCCCAGCAGAGGGUGCGAGGUGAGCCUGCGCCACAAGCGUUGAGCCGGACGCCGUAUCGAUCAAGGAGGGCCCAAGGGCCUUCCU
rnacentral:sRNA from 4 species